AGGGCACCACCGGGAGUGGAGCCUGCGGCUUAAUUUGACUCAACACGGGGAAACUCACCCGGCCCGGACACCGUAAGGAUUGACAGAUUGAUAGCUUUUUCAUGAUUCGGUGGAUGGUGGUGCAUGGCCGUUCCUAGUUCGUGGAGCGAUUUGUCUGGUUUAUUCCGAUAACGAGCGAGACUCUAGCCUACUAAAUAGUUCGCACAUUGUCUCUGUGUGUGUGACUUCUUAGAGGGAUUUUCGGUGUUCAGCCGCACGAAAUUGAGCAAUAACAGGUCUGUGAUGCCCUUAGAUGUCCGGGGCUGCACGCGCGCUACACUGGCAAAAUCAGCGUGCUUGUCCUUCCCCGAAAGGGGUUGGUAAACCCUUGAAAAUUUGCCGUGAUUGGGAUUGGAAAUUGCAAUUAUUUUCCAUGAACGAGGAAUUCCAAGUAAGUGCGAGUCAUCAGCUCGCGUUGAUUACGUCCCUGCCCUUUGUACACACCGCCCGUCGCUGCCCGGGACUGAGCCAUUUCGAGAA
rnacentral:rRNA from 1 species